rnacentral:misc_RNA from 1 species
GAUGAAGAACGCAGCGAAAUGCGAUAAGUAGUGUGAAUUGCAGAAUUCAGUGAAUCAUCGAAUCUUUGAACGCACAUUGCGCCCUUUGGUAUUCCAAAGGGCAUGCCUGUUCGAGCGUCAUUUGUACCCUCAAGCUUUGCUUGGUGUUGGGCGUCUUGUCUCUAGCUUUGCUGGAGACUCGCCUUAAAGUAAUUGGCAGCCGACCUACUGGUUUCGGAGCGCAGCACAAGUCGCACUCUCUAUCAGCAAAGGUCUAGCAUCCAUUAAGCCUUUUUUUCAACUUUUGACCUCGGAUCAGGUAGGGAUACCCGCUGAACUUAAGCAUAUCAAUAAGCGGAGGA